GCCGGGGUGGCGUAACUGGCAGCCGCAAUGGGCUCAAAAUCCAUCGGGCUCACGCUCGUGCGGGUUCGAAUCCCGCCCCCGGCACCA
rnacentral:tRNA from 1 species